rnacentral:lncRNA from 1 species
GCUGGAGUAUAGUGGCACAAUCUUGUCUCACUGCAGGCUCUGCCUCCCAGGUUCAAGCGAUUCUCCUGCCUCAGCCUGCCGAGUAGCUGGGAUUAGAGGUACCCACCCCAUGCCCGGCUGAUUUUUGUAUUUUUAGUAGAGGUGGGGUGUCACCAUGUCGGCCAGGCUGGUCUCGAACUCCUGACUUCAGGUGAUCUGCCCACCUUUGCCUCCCAAAGUGCUGGAAUUACAGGCGUGAGCCACCGUGCCCUGCCGACGUUUGGAAUUUAUGAGGAAAGGUACAAGAAUUCUUCUAGGCCAGUAAGUGACAGAACUGCAUGUCCCAGCCUGUGCAGCCCCUUGAGUGCAUGUUCUAGAGCCAUCAGCUCUAGAGUCCUUCCGGUUGUCAAGGGUCUCGAGUGCCACCUCUCUACCCUGUGAGAUACGCAGAGGACCCUGUAAAUGCCGUGCCCCGCAUGCCUCGGCCUGGGCGUGAGCCGUACGCGGGGGAGGUGGUGACGUUUGUAAUCCAGACGUCGUUUCGUUGCGACUGGGUCACCUGUGAUGCCCUAAGCCCUGAGAACUUUUCAGCACUAUUGACAAGAGCCAAGAUGUGGAAUCAAUCUAAGUGCCCAUCAGUGGAUGAAUGGAUAAAGAAAAUGUGGUGUAAAUACACAGUGGAACACUCUUCAGCCAUUUGAAACACAGAUAGAACUGGAGGCCAUUAUGUUAAGUGAAACAAGCCAAACAGAAAGGUAAAUACUGCAUGUUCUCGGAUGUGGGAGCUGAAGUGGAUCUUCUGAAGAUAGAGAAUGGACUGGUGUUACCAGGGGCUGGGAAGGAUUGGGAGUAGGGGGAUGAAGAGAGGUUGAUUAAUGGGUACACAAUCUCACAUAAUGUAUUGUAUGCUUUACUGAAAUAAAAACAGAAUGGUUGUAUGGGUACUCUAAGUAUGGUUUCUCCUAAACACAUACGGCUUCCACACCAUCAUAAAAUUGAAAAAUCAUUAAGUCAAGCACUGUCUAAUAUAACUUAAUACAAUGCUAAGGUCCUUCAUUUAAUUGUAACAUAAGUCACUCAAGUGUUGCCAUCCUGGAUGAUUUUCUUGGAUUUUUUUUUUUUUUUUUUUUUUUUAAGACAAGGUCUUCUUGCUCUGGAGUGCAGUGGUGUGAUCACAGCUCAUGGCAGCCUCAUACUCGUAGGCUCAAGCAAUCUUCUCAUCUCAGCCUCCAGAGUAGCUGGGACUACUGGCAUGUUCCACCAUGCCCAGUUAAUUAUUAUUAUUGUUUUUUGUAGAGACGGGGUUUUGCCAUGUUGUCCAGGGUAGUCUCGAACUCUUGGGCUCAAGCGAUCCUCCCUCCUCAGCCUCCCAAAGUGCCGUGUGCCACCAUACCCAGCCCCUCUUUGGUUUUUUAAAAGUGCCUGCUAGCUCAUCAGCACAGGAGCAAGGCGACUUGGAGCCACAAUGAGACAGAUGAUUGCCAGUGUUGUUUCAUUUCAGUUCUUAAGUUCCUGCAUGGGGUGCUUACUGAUGAGUCUGUCUCUCCUCUCAGGUAAGCCAGGCCUCCAUCCACUCCUGCACAGCAGGGAACGCUGCACGGUGGCCCAGGGUUCGUGGUGGGCACGCCGUACCCCUCACCCCCUCCACGUGGAGUCUGGCUGAGGGCUCCCUCCCGCAUGCCAGGCCUGGCAUGUCGGUGCAGGCCCUUGCAUUUCUGGCUGUGCUGCGCAGUCUCACCCUUGAGAAGAAGGGGGCGCUGUUGCCUCAGCCUUGCAGAGUUUCUCUGUGGUCAAACCACCCUGCCAGCCUCCCUGCUGCAGCCGGCAGCACGUCACUCCAUGCGGGAGGGGAGCCCCACCUAAGGUAGACUCAGCCUGUGGGAUUCUGGCCUGGCUUCCCGGCAGCAAGCAGGAGCUUCAGAUGCUCAUUCCCGCCGCGGUCGGCUGUGGCGGCGACUCAUACCCGUUUCCGCUCGAAUGAUGCCAGCUGUCCUGCUGCGCCACCUUCCUCUGUCCUCGCAUCCGCUGAUGGGAUUUCCGGUCGCUUCCACUUUGUGGCUCUUUUGAAGAAUGCCGCUAGGAACAUUCACACGCAGGUUCUUGGCCAUAAAAUAUGGCUUUUGGAAAAAUAAAGCUGAGACUUGGAGUUCACGGUGGGGGCUCCCCCAUCUGUGAACAGAAGCAGAAGUUUGGAACUGCCUUCUUUACUGCUCGAGAGGGAAAACUUGAGUGAAAACCAGGAUGCUGGCGAAUGUUGAGUAGCUAAGCUGCACAGGAAAUACCACUUGAUGACCUGCGAUCUGGGGAAGCCGCGCCAGGGCUCUGCGAAGCUGCGGACGAGGGAGGCGUCAGUGUGGGGGCUGCAGCUCAGCUCCGGGGGGGACGCGCCUUUCUCCACGGGACCUGGGGCUCAGGUGCUCACGAGGCUGGGGCGCUGCAGGCCACCCGCAGGGGAAACUGAGGCCCUCCAUUUUGUGGGGCUGGAAGACCUUUCCUUCCAAAAGCAGGUGUAGGCGGGAGCACCUGUGCAGUCCCUCUGUUCAGAUCCUCACCCACUUUUAAAUCAGGAAACAGCAGAUGAAAUGCACAGUGUGAAGGACAAGGAUUCUGCUGAGAGAAUUGCUCCGAGGGUUGCUCAAGUGAUCAUGGGAAAUAAUGCAUCAAACCAUUCUUUAGAUGCAGCUCAGGUGUGCCUUUUCUUCGCCUGUGCCCAUCCACCUGAGAUGGACCAUAACCAUAAAAGUCAGAAGGCACUGACCCUUCAGGACGUGACAGGGUUAAAAGAUGCUGGAGGGAAAGUCUGUCAUUGACUUUUAUUCACUUCCUUUCUCCAUUCUGCCAUUUGGAAGAAGGUAAGCAACUUAACACUAUUUUAGACCAUAUGUUGUAAACUAGCAGGAAAAUGCCUUUGAGCUGAUGAUGGUGGCCCGAACACAGUGAACCUGUCUUAAAUCCCUGCUUUAAACCCUUAAGGGUGUCACUUACAAGAGAUACUAUUUGAAGUCUUCCCAUGCAUGUGUAGGGUGGGGGGAGUACCAACAGCUCAUCGAAUGGGCUCCAUUUGAAAGAUCUGGAUGGUUGCCUUUAUUUGUAACUAGUUUCUUUUCUUUUUUUUUUUUUCCUUGAGAUGGAGUCUUGCUCUAUCACUGGGCUGGAGUGCAGUGGCG